AUUGAACGCUGGCGGCAUGCUUUACACAUGCAAGUCGAACGGUAACAGGUCUUCGGAUGCUGACGAGUGGCGAACGGGUGAGUAAUGCAUCGGAACGUGCCCAGUCGUGGGGGAUAACGCAGCGAAAGCUGUGCUAAUACCGCAUACGAUCUAUGGAUGAAAGCGGGGGAUCGCAAGACCUCGCGCGAUUGGAGCGGCCGAUGUCAGAUUAGCUAGUUGGUGGGGUAAAGGCCCACCAAGGCGACGAUCUGUACCUGGUCUGAGAGGAUGAUCAGGCACACUGGAACUGAGACACGGUCCAGACUCCUACGGGAGGCAGCAGUGGGGAAUAUUGCACAAUGGAGGAAACUCUGAUGCAGCAACGCCGCGUGGAGGAUGACGCAUUUCGGUGUGGUAAACUCCUUUUAUAAGGGAAGAUAAUGACGGUACCUUAUGAAUAAGCACCGGCUAACUCCGUGCCAGCAGCC
rnacentral:rRNA from 1 species